GACGAACGCUGGCGGCGUGCCUAAUACAUGCAAGUCGAGCGGACCCUUCGGGGUUAGCGGCGGACGGGUGAGUAACACGUAGGCAACCUGCCUGUAAGACUGGGAUAACUACCGGAAACGGUAGCUAAGACCGGAUAAGUGAUUCUCUUGCAUGAGAGGAUCAAGAAACACGGGGCAACCUGUGGCUUACAGAUGGGCCUGCGGCGCAUUAGCUAGUUGGUGGGGUAACGGCUCACCAAGGCGACGAUGCGUAGCCGACCUGAGAGGGUGAUCGGCCACACUGGGACUGAGACACGGCCCAGACUCCUACGGGAGGCAGCAGUAGGGAAUCUUCCGCAAUGGACGCAAGUCUGACGGAGCAACGCCGCGUGAGUGAUGAAGGUUUUCGGAUCGUAAAGCUCUGUUGCCAGGGAAGAACGUCGNGGAGAGUAACUGCUCUGCGAAUGACGGUACCUGAGAAGAAAGCCCCGGCUAACUACGUGC
rnacentral:rRNA from 1 species